CGCCCGGAAUGAUUUGAGUGUAACACAGGAAGUCCGUGUGAAACACACAGCGUCGUUUUCGCUGUUAAAUCAACUGUUAACGGAGAAAUAUCAAAGAGUCACCUGACCUGGGAGUGAAUGCCCACUGGCUGAGGACGUCCAGAGGACGCAGCUUUCUUUAGGAUUCCUCCCAUCUUCUGCCUCCUUCCCUCUGGAAGGCGCUACAGGAGCCUCAGGACCAGGAUCAGAACCAGUUAUGUGUCACGUGGCCUGUGAUGGACUGGU